UUGGGACAAUAUGAAAGACUCCUCUGAAAACUGACUUUUGAUAUUUCCAGGGAUAAACAAUGGAAAUGUUCUGACGAAAUGGAAUGGUUGCAUUAGUGUAUCAAUCAACCUACAGGUGGCCAUGUCCUUCGUCCUCUUGCAGCCUCUCCGCUUAUUGGACUGAAGGGGGACCAUGGUAUGAAUGGAGGCUACAAGCAGCAGUUGACAAGUGCUUCAGUACAGGAUGAGUGAUUAGGAGAAGAAUUCACAGGACAAAUAACAAAUGAUACUCUGGAACAGCCAACUUUGAUCAAAAAGGAAUAUGAGAGAGAAAAAAA
rnacentral:lncRNA from 1 species